rnacentral:rRNA from 1 species
UAGUAACGGCGAGUGAAGAGGGAAAAGCUCAAAUUUUGAAUCUGGUGUCUUUGACUCCCGAGUUGUAAUCUAGAGAGGUGUUUUCCGCGUUGGACCGUGUACAAGUUCCCUGGAACGGGGCGUCAUAGAGGGUGAGAAUCCCGUAUAUGCCACGGACUGCCAAUGCUCUGUGAUACACUCUCAACGAGUCGAGUUGUUUGGGAAUGCAGCUCAAAAUGGGUGGUAAAUUCCAUCUAAAGCUAAAUAUUGGCGAGAGACCGAUAGCGAACAAGUACCGUGAGGGAAAGAUGAAAAGCACUUUGGAAAGAGAGUGAAACAGUACGUGAAAUUGUUGAAAGGGAAGCGUUUGAAGUCAGUCACGUCUGUCGGAAUUCAGCCUGGCUUCUGCCUGGUGUACUUUCCGUCCGACGGGUCAGCAUCAAUUUCGACCGAGGGAAAAAGACGUGAGGAAUGUGGCUGUCUUCGGGCAGUGUUAUAGACUCGCGUUGUAUGUCUCGGUUGGGAUUGAGGAACGCAGCGCGCCUAUUGGCCGGGGGUUCGCGCCCCUCGGUACGCGCUUAGGA